rnacentral:rRNA from 1 species
UAGGGAAUCUUCCACAAUGGACGCAAGUCUGAUGGAGCAACGCCGCGUGAGUGAAGAAAGGCUUUCGGGUCGUAAAACUCUGUUAUUGAAGAAGAACGUGUGUGACAGUAACUGGUCAUGCAGUGACGGUAUUCAAUCAGAAAGUCACGGCUAACUACGUGCCAGCAGCCGCGGUAAUACGUAGGUGGCAAGCGUUGUCCGGAUUUAUUGGGCGUAAAGCGAGUGCAGGCGGUCUUUUAAGUCUGAUGUGAAAGCCUUCGGCUUAACCGAAGAAGGGCAUCGGAAACUGGGAGACUUGAGUGCAGAAGAGGAGAGUGGAACUCCAUGUGUAGCGGUGAAAUGCGUAGAUAUAUGGAAGAACACCAGUGGCGAAGGCGGCUCUCUGGUCUGUAACUGACGCUGAGGCUCGAAAGCGUGGGUAGCAAACAGGAUUAGAUACCCUGGUAGUCCACGCC